AACGAAGAUUCCCAAAUUCCGGUAAUUGGGUAAUGAUACCCUUACCAUUAAAAGAUAUCCUUGUAAUGAUAUCCUUACCAUUACAUUACUACUGAUUUACUACGCGUCCGACGUGGUUUUAUUUAUUUAUUAUUUUUCGUUUGUUCUCUACUGCUGGAUGCCUCUGCUGGAUUGUGAUGUGAUUUGCUCCCUGCAAUGUCGGAAAGAUGUAACUCUACCCAGUACACAAUUUCACUUUCAAAUUCAAAUCUUUCAAAUUCAGAAAGAUGUAACUCUACACGGAAUGAUUUGCUUUCAUUUUCGCUGGGCUCUUCUCUCCUCUCAAUCUCAGGCCGAAUGAACCUCUCAUUGUCGCAGGCCGAGAUCAAACCUCCUGGCGUCGUCGAAGGGCGAACGAACCUCUCUAUCUGUCUCAGGUAUGGGCGAUUUGGACGAAAUCAUACCAGGGUUUGACGCUGCCGCCGCCGUCGUGCACAGCCGACCCUCCUGAGCUGCCAGGUUGUAGUUGUUUCUACUUCAAAGACAGGCAAGCAUGGACAUGCAAACUACCACUUUGUAUCAAUCGACAUAUUUAAUGGGAAGAAGCUUGAGGAUAUUGUUCCAGCGGCUAUGGCUGAUGGCAAACGAAUAUGUUUGCUUUUAUGUUUGACAGGGAUGAUAUCUUCUGGGUAUACAAUAAGUUUUCCGUAAGAUGGCCAUUUGACGUUGUAUAAAUUAGCAUUUAGAUGUGCUUAAAAUCUUGUCUUGUAAGGCUUGUGAAUGGGGAAAGAGAAAGGGAUCAGCUAAAGAAAAAGUUAGGGCUGCCGAUCCCUCAGACGAAAGGAACUCAAGUGUAAAUCAGGUUACACUUUAUAUAAAUAUAACUACUGUCAUGUUCUUGUUA